rnacentral:rRNA from 1 species
GACGAACGCUGGCGGCGUGCCUAAUACAUGCAAGUAGAACGCUGAAGGAGGAGCUUGCUUCUCUGGCUGAGUUGCGAACGGGUGAGUAACGCGUAGGUAACCUGCCUGGUAGCGGGGGAUAACUAUUGGAAACGAUAGCUAAUACCGCAUAAUAGUAGAUGUUGCAUGACAUUUGCUUAAAAGGUGCAAUUGCAUCACUACCAGAUGGACCUGCGUUGUAUUAGCUAGUUGGUGAGGUACCGGCUCACCAAGGCGACGAUACAUAGCCGACCUGAGAGGGUGAUCGGCCAAACUGGGACUGAGACACGGCCCAGACUCCUACGGGAGGCAGCAGUAGGGAAUCUUCGGCAAUGGACGGAAGUCUGACCGAGCAACGCCGCGUGAGGGAAGAAGGUUUUCGGAGCGUAAAGCUCUGUUGUAAGAGAAGAACGAGUGUGAGAGUGGAAAGUUCACACUGUGACGGUAUCUUACCAGAAAGGGACGGCUAACUACGUG